AGGGAGGAGAAUGAGCGCGGCUGCCUGGGGAAGGGAGGCUGCGGGGUGUGGACUAGAGCGCGACGCUCCACACCCCCGAGUCCCUGUCUGCCGGGGCAGGGCGGCGGGACGGGGAACAGGGCUGGCUGCGGGCACGGCCCUGCCCCCCGCCGCUCCUCCGCUGUUGGGUAUAGGAAGGACUUACAUGGUUGCUCCCCGCCGCUUCCCGUUUAAUGGGCAGCUAAUUUUUCGAAAGGAAUAAUAUAUAAUCUUUGAAGGAGUCAGGAAGAAUUGAACCUGCUUCAAUGUCACCGCCUAAAGAAAGAAGUCACAAAAUGUGUUAACUUUUUUCUGAUGGUCCUCCCCAUCCCACCAGGGGUGGUGGUGUGAGGAAGCAGAAAUGUGGUACUUAGUUGCCAGCUGGAGUUAAACCACAGUAUUUCUGGAAAACAAGUGCCAUGUUCCAGACAGAAACUACUGCCUUUUGCAUUACUGAAUUUUGUAUCGUUUCCGUUACAUCCAGAUCUUCCUAUACGCCAAAGUUCCACGGUACGAACACCUGGCCACCCCUUGUUCUGACUCCCUGCUGGAUACACCGUGUAGGAACACAGCUGGGCUGACGUCCAGGGAGACAUUGAAUCCAUCACCCAAGCAGCUAGCCCACUGCCUCCAGAUGGACUGUUUUCGAGGUUGGGGACUCACACUUUGCACCAGGAUUUUCAGGGUCAUGCUGAAACUUCUGGAAAGCAAGACAGUUUUAUAUCUACAGUUACCUUAAACAGUGGAACACUUUUUACCUUCUCCAUUUAAAUCCU